rnacentral:rRNA from 1 species
UGGGGAAUAUUGGACAAUGGGCGAAAGCCUGAUCCAGCCAUGCCGCGUGUGUGAAGAAGGUCUUCGGAUUGUAAAGCACUUUAAGUUGGGAGGAAGGGCAUUAACCUAAUACGUUAGUGUUUUGACGUUACCGACAGAAUAAGCACCGGCUAACUCUGUGCCAGCAGCCGCGGUAAUACAGAGGGUGCAAGCGUUAAUCGGAAUUACUGGGCGUAAAGCGCGCGUAGGUGGUUUGUUAAGUUGGAUGUGAAAUCCCCGGGCUCAACCUGGGAACUGCAUUCAAAACGGACUGACUAGAGUAUGGUAGAGGGUGGUGGAAUUUCCUGUGUAGCGGUGAAAUGCGUAGAUAUAGGAAGGAACACCAGUGGCGAAGGCGACCACCUGGACUAAUACUGACACUGAGGUGCGAAAGCGUGGGGAGCAAACA